rnacentral:tRNA from 1 species
AAUUAAUUAGCUUAAAUUAAAGCAUUUGUUUUGAAAACUUAAGAUAAGAUAUAUCUUAUUAAUUU